CCUACGGGAGGCUGCAGUGAGGAAUAUUGGUCAAUGGACGAGCGUCUGAACCAGCCAAGUAGCGUGAAGGAUGACUGCCCUAUGGGUUGUAAACUUCUUUUAUAUGGGAAUAAAACAGGGUAUGCAUACACUCUUGUAUGUACCAUAUGAAUAAGGAUCGGCUAACUCUGUGCCAUCAGCCGCGUUGAUACGGAGGAUCCGAGCGUUAUCCGGAUUUAUUGGGUUUAAAGGGAGCGUAGGUGGAUUGUUAAGUCAGUUGUGAACGUUUGCGGCUCAACCGUAAAAUUGCAGUUGAAACUGGCAGUCUUGAGUACAGUAGAGGUGGGCGGAAUUCGUGGUGUAGCGGUGAAAUGCUUAGAUAUCACGAAGAACUCCGAUUGCGAAGGCAGCUCACUGGACUGCAACUGACACUGAUGCUCGAAAGUGUGGGUAUCAAACAGGAUUAGAUACCCUAGUAGUC
rnacentral:rRNA from 1 species